GUCCUAGCCCUAACGAUGAGCACUGGGUGUGGCCCUCACGGGCCGUGCCGGAGCUAACGCAUUAAGUGCUCCGCCUGGGAGUACGGUCGCAAGGCUGAACUCAAGGAAUUGACGGGCCCGCACAAGCGGUGGAGCAUGUGGUUCAAUUCGACGCAACGCGAAGAACCUUACCUGGGCUCGAAAUGUAGUCGCCGGUCUCAGAGAUGAGGCUUUCCCGCAAGGGACGGCUGCAUAGGUGCUGCAUGGCUGUCGU
rnacentral:rRNA from 1 species